rnacentral:rRNA from 1 species
UGUGAGAGGAGGGGGAAUACGUAGGGUGCAAGCGUUAAUCGGAAUUACUGGUUGUAAAGCGUGCGCAGGCGGUUUGUUAAGACGGAUGUGAAAUCCCCGGGCUCAACCUGGGAACUGCAUUCGUGACUGGCAAGCCAGAGUAUGGCAGAGGGGGGUAGAAUUCCACGUGUAGCAGUGAAAUGCAUAGAGAUGUGGAGGAAUACCGAUGGCGAAGGCAGCCCCCUGGGCCAAUACUGACGCUCAUGCACGAAAGCGUGGGGAGCAAACAGGAUUAGAUACCCUGGUAGUCCACGCCCUAAACGAUGUCAACUAGUUGCCGGGUCUUCAUUGACUUGGUAACGUAGCUAACGCGUGAAGUUGACCGCCUGGGGAGUACGGUCGCAAGA